UGAUACAAAGAAGUGGCCCUGUUAAG
rnacentral:piRNA from 1 species